rnacentral:misc_RNA from 1 species
GUGCACACUUUCACCUCGUUUGAGGACGACAGUUUUCCAUGCCGCCGAAGUUCGACCCCAACCAGGAGAUCGUGGUGGUGGUGCGCGCCGUCGGUGGCGAGGUGGCUGCGACAGCCUCCCUCGCCCCCAAGGUCGGUCCUCUCGGUCUCAACGCCAAGAAGAUUGGUGAGGAUAUCGCCAAGUGCACCAAGGACUGGAAGGGCUUGAAGGUCACCUGCGAGCUGCGCGUCAAGAACCGUGUGGCGACGGUGGUGGUGACGCCGUCCGUGGCGUCUCGCCUCAUCCGCGCACUGAAGGAGCCGCCGCGCGACCGCAAGAAGGUCAAGAACAUCAAGCAUAGCGGCAACAUCCCGUUCGCGGAGAUCAUCAAGAUCGCCAAGGAGUCGCAGCCCAAGUCCAUGGGUAGCGAUCUCAAGGCCGUCGUGAUGGAGGUGCUCGGCACGGCCGUGUCCAUCGGCUGCACCGUCGAUGGCGAGAGCCCGCUCGACAUCCAGGCGAAGGUACGGGAGGGAAAGUUGAAGGUCCCCAACUAAGGGGUAAUCGUGUGAGUUUUCUUCCCUUGCGUAGGUGCAUACGCUGCAGCAUCUGCUUCUGCAUGCGACUUGUUUAUCCUUUUCCUUUUGAGAAAGCAAAAUCAAUCGCGCAAGAGUAUCAUCGCCGAGGGCUCGAUCGCCCCAGAGGGAUGAUCAGCUGGCGAAGGGUCGGCAGAGGUCCCUCCUCCCUUCUUCCCCUACCGCUCGCUCACUGUGACCCCGUGACACUGAAGCGGCAGGGUGCAGCAGCACCGCUACCCUCUCCUUUUCGCCCUUCCUCUCUGAUGUGCUGUUCUUCGCAUAGCUUCGUCCUUUAUGUUUAGUGAGUUGAGAGGCCAAAACGGAGAUGGUAGCCAUGAAUCGGGGUGUAUCCUGCAGCAAGGAUAACCGAAGCACCUUCAUCCACGGUCUUCAAUGGCCACAAGGCGGAAAAGCGGUGAGAGUGCGAGGGCGACAUAGAAGGACAAUAACGAAGGAGAUAGAGAGGGGGGAUGCUGGCUGCGGUGGGAGGAGCUGCACGUCGUCUCGUCAUCGGUAGUGAGGGUGUCACGAAGAGGAGCAAAAC